rnacentral:rRNA from 1 species
AUGAACGCUGGCGGCGUGCCUAACACAUGCAAGUCGAACGGAGUCGUUUUGGAAAUCUCUUCGGAGAUGGAAUUCUCGACUUAGUGGCGGACGGGUGAGUAACGCGUGAGCAAUCUGCCUUUAAGAGGGGGAUAACAGUCGGAAACGGCUGCUAAUACCGCAUAAAGCAUUAAAUUCGCAUGUUUUUGAUGCCAAAGGAGCAAUCCGCUUUUAGAUGAGCUCGCGUCUGAUUAGCUAGUUGGCGGGGUAACGGCCCACCAAGGCGACGAUCAGUAGCCGGACUGAGAGGUUGAACGGCCACAUGGGGACUGAGACACGGCCCAGACUCCUACGGGAGGCAGCAGUGGGGAAUAUUGCGCAAUGGGGGAAACCCUGACGCAGCAACGCCGCGUGAUUGAAGAAGGCCUUCGGGUUGUAAAGAUCUUUAAUCAGGGACGAAACAAAUGACGGUACCUGAAGAAUAAGCUCCGGCUAACUACGUG